UGUAUUCACUACUGUAAGUCGCUCUGGAUAAGGGCGUCUGCUAAAUGACUAAAA
rfam:Salmo salar isolate Sally breed double haploid chromosome ssa08, whole genome shotgun sequence.